AGAGAUGAUACCUCAGAAAUUGCUAAUUCCUGUCUCUGUGACUGAACUCCCAGCAUCUUUA
rnacentral:tRNA from 1 species